UGCAAGUCGAACGAGAUGUUCGGAUCUAGUGGCGCACGGGUGCGUAACGCGUGGGAAAUCUGCGCUUGGGUUCGGAAUAACAGCUGGAAACGACAGCUAAUCCCGGAUGAUGACGUAAGUUCAAAGAUUUACCGCCCAAGGAUGGGCUCGCGUAGGAUUAGCUAGUUGGUGAAGUAAAGGCUCACCAAGGCGACGAUCCUUAGCUGGUCUGAGAGGAUGAUCAGCCACACUGGGACUGAGACACGGCCCAGACUCCUACGGGAGGCAGCAGUGGGGAAUAUUGGACAAUGGGCGAAAGCCUGAUCCAGCAAUGCCGCGUGAGUGAUGAAGGCCUUAGGGUUGUAAAGCUCUUUUACCCGGGAUGAUAAUGACAGUACCGGGAGAAUAAGCCCCGGCUAACUCCGUGCCAGCAGCCGCGGUAAU
rnacentral:rRNA from 1 species